AACGCACGAGACCUGCGGACCUGCGGAGGGAUCAUUAGUGAACGCCCUCACGGGCUUAUAACUAUUCCAAACCUCUGUGAACCGUGCCCUUCGGGGCUAUUUUACAAACAUGGUGUAAUGAACGUCAUAUAUCAUAACGAAACAAAACUUUUAGCAAUGGAUCUCU
rnacentral:misc_RNA from 1 species